GACGAACGCUGGCGGCGUGCUUAACACAUGCAAGUCGAACGGUAAGGCCCUUCGGGGUACACGAGUUGCGAACGGGUGAGUAACACGUCGGAGAUCUGCCCUGCACUUCGGGAUAAGCCUCGGAAACUGGGUCUAAUACCGAAUAGGAGAACUGCUUCCAUGGGCGGUGGUGGAAAGCUUUUGCGGUGUGGGAUGGGCCCGCGGCCUAUAAGCUUGUGGGUGGGGUGAUGGCCUACAGAGGGGACGACGGGUAGCCGGCCUGGGAGGGUGACCAGCCGCACUGGGACUGAGAUACGGCCCAGACUCCUACGUGAGGCAGCAGUGGGGAAUAUUGCACAAUGGGCGCAAGCCUGAUGCAGCGACGCCGCGUGAGGGAUGGCGGCCUUCGGGUUGUAAACCUCUUUCAGCACCAACGAAGCGCAAGUGACGGUAGGUGCAGAAGAAGGACCGGCCAACUACGUGCCAGCCGCCGCCGUAA
rnacentral:rRNA from 1 species